rnacentral:rRNA from 1 species
AUACGAAGGGCUCGAGUGUUAAUCGGAUUCAUUGGGCUUAAAGCGUACGUAGGCGGGCGUGCAGGUAUCGAGUGAAAUCCCACGGCUCAACCGUGGAACUGCUGGGCAUACUGCGGGCCUUGAGGUCGGCAGAGGUCGCCGGAACUCUAGGUGUAGCGGUGAAAUGCGUAGAUAUCUAGAGGAACGCCAAAGGCGAAGGCAGGUGGCUGGGCCGAUCCUGACGCUGAGGCACGAAAGCAUGGGUAGCGAACGGGAUUAGAAACCCCAGUAGUCC